rnacentral:rRNA from 1 species
UACAGAGGGUGCAAGCGUUGUUCGGAUUUACUGGGCGUAAAGCGCGUUCAGGCGGUUCGGCAAGUCGGGCAUGAAAUCUCUCGGCUCAACCGGGAGAGGUUGUCCGAUACUGUUGGACUUGAGGGCAGUAGAGGGUGGUGGAAUUCCGGGUGUAGUGGUGAAAUGCGUAGAUAUCUGGAGGAACACCGGUGGCGAAGGCGGCAUCCUGGACCGACACUGACGCUGAGGAGCGAAAGCCAGGGGAGCAAACGGG